rnacentral:rRNA from 1 species
GCGUACAGGUUUCCGUAGGUGACCUGCGGAAGGAUCAUUAUUGAAAUAAAACUGAUGAGUUGUUGCUGGCUCUUUAGGGAGCAUGUGCACGCUUGUCAUCUUUAUAUCUCCACCUGUGCACCUUUUGUAGUCCUGGAUAUCUCUCUGAAUGCUUGUCACUCAGGUUUGAAGAAUUGACCUUAGUGUCUUUUCUUACAUUUCCAGGUCUAUGCUUCUUCAUAUACCCUAAUGUAUGUUAUGGAAUGUAUUUCAUGGGCCUUUGUGCCUAUAAACCUAUACAACUUUCAGCAACGGAUCUCUUGGCUCUCGCAUCGAUGAAGAACGCAGCGAAAUGCGAUAAGUAAUGUGAAUUGCAGAAUUCAGUGAAUCAUCGAAUCUUUGAACGCACCUUGCGCUCCUUGGUAUUCCGAGGAGCAUGCCUGUUUGAGUGUCAUUAGUAUAUCAACCUCUUAGGCUUUUGUCUGUAGAGUGUUGGAUGUGGGGGUGCUCUUUUUUGCUGGCCUUUUGAAGGUCAGCUCCCCUCAAAUGUAUUAGCGGAAUGAUCUGUGGACCGUUCAUUGGUGUGAUAACUUAUCUACGCUAUUGACGUGAAGCGGGUUCAGCUUCUAAUAGUCCAUUAACUUGGACAAAUUUUCUGUAAUGUGACCUCAAAUCAGGUAGGAUUACCCGCUGACUUACAUAC